CAUCCUGCCCUCCUUCCGUUGGGAGGGAGGAACUCAGCUUCUUCUGGAGCGCGAAAGUCAUUCACGUUUCUCUUGUGCAUAAUAGAGCUCGUAAACCGUAGGAAUUCUGAUGUGCUUCAGUGCACAGAACAGCAACAGAUGAGCUGCUUUUGGGGAGAGCUUGAGCACUCAGUCGGUCAGUGGUACAGUAGCAGACUCACAUGUGCGGACUGUUCCUGUGAGGAGCAUCAUGAUGGGGUCUCCUGCUACAGAAACUGAAGAAUUGGAAAACACCACUUUUAAGUAUCUCAUAGGAGAGCAGACUGAAAAAAUGUGGCAACGCCUGAAAGGAAUGAAAUAAACAUCUGAUCUUCGAAAGUGAUGUGGGAGUAGCAGUUGCUAUGUACUGAGGAGGAAAAUGAGGACCUACCUUCUUCUCUUUAUACAGACUUUCAACCAAAACCCUACUUUCAGUCCCACUCUGACUUCCUGAAAUCUACAACACGUGAAGCCUCCGAUUUGGGCAUCUUUUCAGAGUUCCUUAGAGUGAAACCUUUGCUUCUAGCUGUUAUUCUUUGCUAAGAUUUUCACUCCUCCAAAUACUUUCCAAACUUCCAAAAAUGAAAUUGAUCCGCUUGUAUCUUGUUGCCUUCUUUCCCAUUCACUUUGUCCUUCUGAGGAAUUUACAACACUUUUAUGUCUUUACUGUCAGGUUAGUAGAGUCUUAGGGGGUAGCAAUUACAGAUGUAUGCAUUCAGUUACCCAUGAUUAAAAAAAAAGAUGCACUAAAGUU